GAGUUUGAUCCUGGCUCAGGAUGAACGCUGGCGGCAUGCCUAAUACAUGCAAGUCGAACGGAAUCUUAUAUGUUCCUCGUUUCGGAUUUAGUUCCGAGUUGGGGAACAAUAAGAUUUAGUGGCGGACGGGUGAGUAACACGUUGGUACCUACCCUCUAGUGGGGAAUAACUUCGAGAAAUCGAGGCUAAUACCGCAUAAUAUCUACGGAUUAAAGCAUUUAUGCGCUAGAGGAGGGGCCUGCGUCUGAUUAGCUUGUUGGUGAGGUAAAAGCUCACCAAGGCGACGAUCAGUAGCUGGAUCGAGAGGUUGACCAGCCACACUGGGACUGAGAUACGGCCCAGACUCCUACGGGAGGCAGCAGUAAGGAAUCUUCCACAAUGGGCGAAAGCCUGAUGGAGCAAUGCCGCGUGCAGGAUGACGGCCUUCGGGUUGUAAACUGCUUUUAUAUAGGAAGAUUAUGACGGUACCAUAUGAAUAAGGACCGGCUAACUACGUG
rnacentral:rRNA from 1 species